CUCCCACUUUUAACUCUAACCCUUCUCCAAAGUUCAGGAAUAAACUCUUAAUACUUCUCAAGUAUUUAGAGAUAUUUUCACAGCAAUCCAAUACUCCCAGUCUGAAUUCAAUUAAUAUCUACUCGUAACUCUCACAGCAAGAUAUACAAAGUCGAGUACAUAAUAUAGCAUACACCUAUGCCCAAAAGGAUAAUGGAUCCCUCUUGGAGGUUUCUAUACUGAAUCCUUUCAGCACCUCUUGUAUGUACUUAUCUGUGAAAAUCUAAACAUCCUUUUAGAUCUAUCUCUAUAAACUUUUAUUCUCAGAAUACAGGACACUUAUGAAAGAAAAGUGUCCUAUAAGCCAAUCGCAAGUGUGUUGCGAUGAGACUUUCUUUACAAUUUUUCAAUUCAUGAAAUGAUAUUUAUUAUUAUUUAAGGUAUUGAUUCAUCAUAUUAGCUGCAUCUUAUUAUGUCUAAGAUUAUGAUGAAUCCCAAAGAUUAGGAUAAUAAUUUUAGGAGACAAAAAUUCGUCAUGCUAGUGAGAUCUAAAAUCCUAAAAUCCAAAUAUUAAAUAUUCCUGAUC
rnacentral:lncRNA from 1 species